ACGGGAAACAUUGAUGGCAACAACUUGCAUAAGCUCGCCUCAACCUCCUCGGACCAAUUAAAAGAUAUUACCGAUGGUGCGCUGUACAAGAAGAUGCACCAAGUGCUCAAGAUGAGGUGGAGCGACUUGAAUUUAACUCUGAACAUCGAUGGCUCGCCAGUCUUGAAAUCCAUCAAAGGCUCAGUGUGGCUGAUUCACGUCUAACUGAAUGAGUUGCCUGUGCCUCUUCAUUGGAAAACAUUCUGAUUGAAGGACUUUGGUUUAGCAAAGAACGUCCACCUGCCCACCUUUUCUUUAAGGCCUUUGUUGACAAGUUUCAAGGUCUGGGAAAGAUAACAUGGUCAUUUGCGCAGUAAGUUGUCCAUUCUGCCAUUCGACUCGCCCGCACAAGCUUUUUUGCUGAAUUCAAAACAGUUCAACGGGUACUACAGCUGUUCUUGGUGCCUGCAGAAAGGAGCUCUUGUUGAAGGUGCCAGCGUUUCGGCCACAGCUCUCAGAGCUGCCCUGGGCGUAAAACCUGUGCAAACAGUAGUUUGCGUGAACACGCUAAGGACAACUAUGAAGAAGGAACUGUUACUGCGCAAACUGCAACGUUGGACACACCACUUACUCUCGCACAUGUGCUACGUGAAAACACGAAUAAGAAAUACUUACGCUCAAAGUAAAUAAAAACAUCUCAUUUAGGAA